UACGUAGGUGGCAAGCGUUGUCCGGAUUUAUUGGGUUUAAAGGGUGCGUAGGCGGUUUUUUAAGUCAGUGGUGAAAUACUUCAGCUUAACUGGAGAGGUGCCAUUGAUACUGGGAAACUUGAGUACUGAUGAGGUAGGCGGAAUGGACGGUGUAGCGGUGAAAUGCUUAGAUAUCGUCCAGAACACCGAUAGCGAAGGCAGCUUACUAAGGAGUAACUGACGCUGAGGCACGAAAGCGUGGGUAGCAAACAGG
rnacentral:rRNA from 1 species